rnacentral:rRNA from 1 species
GAGGAAUAUUGGUCAAUGGGCGAGAGCCUGAACCAGCCAAGUCGCGUGAAGGAAGACUGUCCUAUGGAUUGUAAACUUCUUUUGUACGGGAAUAAAGUGGGCUACGUGUAGCCUUUUGUAUGUACCGUACGAAUAAGGAUCGGCUAACUCCGUGCCGGCAGCCGCGGUAAUACGGAGGAUCCGAGCGUUAUCCGGAUUUAUUGGGUUUAAAGGGUGCGUAGGUGGGUUGAUAAGUCAGUGGUGAAAGUUUGCAGCUUAACUGUAAAAUUGCCGUUGAAACUGUCGGUCUUGAGUGCAAAUAAGGUAGGCGGAAUGCGUCGUGUAGCGGUGAAAUGCUUAGAUAUCACACAGAAUAUCGAUUGCGAAGGCAGCUCACAAAGCUAAUAUUGACGCUGAUGCACGAAAGUGUGGGGAUCAAAC